GGCUCAGUAGCUUAGUUGGUAAGGUACUCGUCCAGCAUACAAGAGUCGAGGGAUCGAAUCCCACCUGAGCAU
rfam:Aedes aegypti strain Liverpool supercont1.284 genomic scaffold, whole genome shotgun sequence.